rnacentral:snoRNA from 1 species
UGGGUCAGACAUGAGAACAUGGGGUAUCUGAACUAAGAUAUUGUGAUUAAAUCCGUGUAUGACUCUGAGACCUUU